rnacentral:rRNA from 1 species
UACGGGGGGGGGCAAGCGUUGUUCGGAAUUACUGGGCGUAAAGGGCUCGUAGGCGGCCAACUAAGUCGGAUGUGAAAUCCCCAGGCUUAACCUGGGAACUGCAUCCGAUACUGGAUGGCUUGAAUCCGGGAGAGGGAUGCAGAAUUCCAGGUGUAGCGGUGAAAUGCGUAGAUAUCUGGAGGAAUACCGGUGGCGAAGGCGGCAUCCUGGACCAUAACUGACGCUGAGGCGCGAAAGCUAGGGGAGCAAACGGG